rnacentral:rRNA from 1 species
CCUGAAAAAAAGUAGGUAUAAUCUUCAUACCUCAAAGAAUUUGGCGGUUAGUUAUUCAUUCAGAGGAACCUGUAUAUUAAUUGAUAAACCACGAUAGUUUAUACUUUUUAUUUACUUAUAUACCUCUAUUUUAUAUGAAUGUUUUUUAAGAAUAAUUUUCUUUUAGAUUUAUCUUUUAUGUUAGGUCAAGGUGUAGUUCUUGGAAUAGUUUAUAUGGGUUAUUUUAGUUUUAAUUUAAAUAUGUGUUUUUUUUUUUAAUUAAUUUUAUUAGGAUUUGAUAGUAAAUUUAAUUAAUUAAUUUUUUUGAAUUAA